rnacentral:rRNA from 1 species
UACGAAGGGGGCUAGCGUUGCUCGGAAUUACUGGGCGUAAAGGGCGCGUAGGCGGGUCGUCUAGUUAGAGGUGAAAGCCCAGGGCUCAACCCUGGAAUUGCCUUUAAUACUGGCGGCCUUGAGUAUGGCAGAGGUGUGUGGAACUCCGAGUGUAGAGGUGAAAUUCGUAGAUAUUCGGAAGAACACCAGUGGCGAAGGCGACACACUGGGCCAUUACUGACGCUGAGGCGCGAAAGCGUGGGGAGCAAACAGGG